GAGCCUUAGCGGGCGGCAGGGGGUGGGUUCCUUCUGGCCGCCAUGCUUCGGGGUUUGGUCCACCGCUGUGGGUGCUGUGCUGUGAUCCCUGCUGCGGGGAGCCGCAGACAGCACUAGCGAGCCUGGAAGAGCCGCGAUGGAGACUAUUACAGAGAUCCACAACUGGUCAGAAUGCAGAGAAUAACUGAUGUUUGGGUGCCCAGCCACAGUUGAUACAUCUACAGUGCAACCCAAGGCUCAUGGAACACGUGGAAGAGGGGCAGAAAGAUUAUAAGAGCCAGAGGACCAGGACGGACACCUGCUGCUAGAUAAUGUCUUGCAGACAUGACAGGGAAGAUACACCCAUGAACUCCCAGCAAUAUGAAUGUCUAAACAAGACCUGCGUGAAACCACCAGCUGACAUGCAAAUGUGGAUGGGGAAAUUUCUAGAUGAAAAGCUACAGGCGUUCAGUGGCUGCUGACAGCAGGACAGGUCUGCCAGGUGAUUUCAGGAAGGACUAACUGAGGAGAGAAGACUCUUCCCCCAGCGUGGGUGGCGCUUUCAGAAGUGGCCGGCAUAGAAAGAAGACAAAGGCAGAAGCAGUGCUGCCUCCCUGCCCGCCUUCACUUCUUGAGGGUGAGUCCCUGUCCCAUUGCUGCCGCAGCCGCUACCACCGCCGCUGCCACCACCGCCGUCCUUCAGCCGUCCUUCACUGACGUCGGAACUCAGCUUCUUGGGCCUCCAGUGUGGACUGAACAUCAGAGGCUGUCGGUGAAUCUUCCAGGCCUUCUCCACCCGAUUGAGAGCUGAGUCUCCAGCCUUGUGGACUGAGCAACUACCAGGUCAUCAGCCUCUCCAGCAUGGAGACAGCCAUUGUUGGACUAUCUAGGCCGGACCAGGAUUAUGUGAGCUUUGAGGAGCUGGCUGUGAACUUCACGCAGGAAGAGUGGGAUUUGCUGGAUCCUUCUCAGAAGACUCUCUAUGGAGAUGUGAUGCUGGAAACUUGUAGGAACUUCACUGCUAUAGGUUAUGAAUGGGAAGAUCAGACUGUUGAAGACCAUUGUGAAAAUCCUGAAAUAAAUCUAAGGCAUGUCACAUCUCAUUCUGGAAAAACACCACACAAGCAUGAAGAACAUGAAAAGAAGCCAUGUAACUUUAAUUCUCUCACAAAUAUUGAAGCAAACAUGGGAACCCACACUGCGAAUGGACCUUCUCAAUGUGAGGUAUGCUUAAAAUCCUAUGGACUGUAUCACCUGACCUACAACGGCGAGCACAUCUAUGAAUAUAAAGACUGUGGAGGGAGUCCAACUGUAGGAAAACGUUAUGAAUGUAAUCAGUGUGGUAAAACUCUGAGUUCUUUCAAUUCCCUUCAAAGACAUCAGAAAAUUCAUGUGGAAGGAAGACCCUAUGAGUGUCAACAGUGUGGCAAAGCCUUUCGGUAUCUCAGUGCCCUGCAGUCACAUGAAAGAAUUCAUACUGGAGAAAAACCCUACGAAUGUAAACAUUGUGGUACAGCGUUUAGCAGGCUUACCCACCUGCGAUUACAUGAAAAGGUUCAUACUGGAGAGAAACACUAUGAAUGUAAACAAUGUGGUAUAGUCCUCAGAUCUCAGAGUUCCUAUCAUAGACAUAAAAUAAUUCAUGGAGAAACAUUCUAUGACUGUAAACAGUGUGGGAAGUCCUUCAUUUACCCCUCUUUACUUCAAAUGCAUGAAAGAACGCACACUGGCGAAAAACCCUUUGAAUGUAAACACUGUGGUAAAGCCUUUAGAUAUCACUCUUCCAUACGAUUACAUGAAAGAACUCACACAGGAGAAAGACCCUAUGAAUGUCAACACUGUGAUAAAGCCUUUACGCGUCAGAGUUACCUUCAAUUUCAUGAAAGAAGCCACACUGGAGAGAAACCCUAUGAAUGUAAAGAAUGUGGUAAAGCUUUUAGACAUCACUCCUAUCUUCGAUUACACGAAAGAAGACAUACUGGGGAGAAGCCUUAUCAGUGUGUGCAGUGUGGUAGAGCUUUCAGCCGUCACAGUUCCUAUAAGAGACAUCAGUCUGUUCAUGCUGUGGAAAACCCCUAUGAAUGUCAAGACUAUCUACUUCCUUUAUCCCCGUUUCCUUCAGAUGCAUGAAAGAACUUACGCUGGCAACAACCCAAUGGAUGUGAACAGUGUAGUUAGAACAUUUAUUCCUGUUCAUAUAAAACAUAUGUAAGAACUCAAAAUAAUGGUAAACCUUUAUGUAAACAAUGUGAUAUAGCCUGCAUAGGGAUUACAGAACCCCACCAGCUGGAAGCAGUUACCAAAGAUACCUCCUUCCUAUUAAAAAUUAUGGAGAUCAUGUAUCUGGGGGAAAUGAUGCAGGAGGAGAUAGGGUCAGAAAAGAGUGACUGAGCAAUGACAAUUUGAUUGUGGGACCCAAAAACCAAGAAAGCCCAUCACUUGGACUCCUGUGAACCAUCUUGAGGUCAUAUAAACUCUUCCAGCAACCACAGAAAAUCGUCCUCUACAAUCACCAAAAGGAGAUUAAUUCCACGUGGUCUAGGAAAAUAGCAAGGACGUUUCCUGAAGGAAAUACUAAACAAGAUAAUGCUGAUUCCCCUCAGGACCCAGCUUCCCCACUCAUGUAUGAGCAGAUUCAAGCUUCACCAAGACCCUAGAGCAGGAAAACAUAUUGGGAGUGGCAGUUGGCCUAGUGGAGGACUAUCAUAGCAGCACGGUGUGGCUGGGGGAGAGACCAUGGCUGUGGCUGCAUCUGCAGUGCCCUCCCAGCACCUGCCAGACCCUGGCCUCUCCGAGUAGCCAGAAGGCAGAGGAAGAGUCAGUGACAGUGUCUGCAGCUCAAAUCCCGUCAGACCCGAGAAGCCACCUCAAACGACAGUGUUGUUAAAGUUCCUUCUGGAAGGGGACAUAUAAACAACAUCCAUUACUCCUUCCCUUGGCCCCAACAACAAAAAGAGGUAUGAGUCCCCCCAAAUGUACUCCAUGAAACCAGUGAGUUUAUUGGGCUUACAGAGCAGUGGCCAGAGAUUACUUACAGGACUGUGGGUGCUCUCCCCACCCAUGGCCGCACCAGAAAGUCUCCACCCAGCAUCGAUGAUGGCUUCCUCAUAGCUGCAUAUGAUUCCCCAGCCUAUAUGAUCUAGCCGUUCCCCCCAGGCCACAAGUAAUUAGGGCUGAAUUUCCCACCACAGGUUGGGAGGUGUGGCUAGACACCCAGGUGAGGGUCCCUUGACUCUCCCUGCCCUUGCUAUGUGGGGAUGUGAGUGGUCAACAAGCUGAGCUGCAAUGAUCUUUGGCAAGUGGGCACAGCUGAGCUCUGGAAGAUGGCAUCGGUCUGACUCAGGACAGUCCUGUACUUCAGGCAGGCACAAGAACACCCUUCCUUCUGGAACCUGGGUCGGGCUGUUAAGGAGUUUGAAACCACUGGGAAAAAGACCACCAGAACCAAUUCAAAUUUUAUGUGGUCCAAGUUAUUAGGGUUAUAGCUGUCUGCGGUCAGUGCAGCCUUUGCUGCCCCAUGUCGUUCAUCCACAAAUAAGUGGAAGGGUUUGGCAGUGUCAGGCAGUCCCAACGCUGGGGCUGACGUUAGAGCUCUUCUAAGCCUUUGAAAAGCUUCGUUUUCUUUUUCCUUCCAACUCAGAGGGCCUUUUCCUCCCAGGCUUUGGUAUAAUGGCUUAGCUAUCUCAGCAAAGUUAGGUAUCCAGAGCCUGCAAUAUCCAACUGUCCCCAGGAAUGGUCUCGUUUGCUUUUUGUCCUGCGGCUCAGGAAUGUUUAGGAUGGCUUGAAUUCUGCUCUGAGACAGGAUUCUGCUGCCACCUUCUGUUUACAGAUGAGGAUGCGAUCCCUCAGCUGCCUGCCAGCUGCUGCCAUGAUGGACUUUUAGCCCUCUGGAAACAUAAGCCCAAAUAAACUCCUCCUUAUAUAGGUUUCCUUGGUCAAGGUAUUUUAUCACAGCAACAGAAAAUAACCAAUACACCCAGAUAUGUGACAUUCGUUUCCUUCCUGAGUGUCAGGAGCCUUCCCCUCUUUGAGGGAAUGUUUCAAUCCCCAGGAAACACUCCACCCAUUUCUCCAUCUUUUACAUUUUUUCCAACCCCCUCCUCCACAGUGUUCUCCUCUGGCUAUUCUUCCUCUAGGGAAGCAGGGUAGCACCCCCAAUUGGACCCCCACCACCGGGUGGGGAGCCCGGACCCCCCUUCUCUGAGAAACCCCAGGCCUUUAUUAUUUUAGUGGAAACUGUUUUCUACACUUAUCAGCCCACCUGGGAUGACUGCAGGCAGCUCUUGGGAAUUCUCUUCACAGCUGAGAGAAGGAUCACAUCCUGACUGAGGCCUGCAAACUGUAGUGGUCCCAGGGACACCUGGGGAGGACACAGAUGCGAGGGGUCUUGCUCUCCACCUGACUGAACUGGGGCCCUAACAUGGACCAUGGCAAGGGGGCACUAGACGCCCAUCACCAGGCCCUACUAACUGGAAUGAGAGCAGCAGCCAGGAAACCAACUAAUCUUUCAAAGAUAUCUGAAGUUAUUCAGGGGGGCAGGAAUCCUGGGUUUUUGGAGCAUAUCUGGGAAGCCUAUUUGGAAUUUACCCCCAUUGACCCAGACACUGCAGAUAACCAGCAAGCUAUCAGUCUUGCCUUUGUGAAUCAGUUGACCCCAGGCAUUCUUAGAAAGCUACAGUGAUUGGAAAGGUUUGCAGGAAUGAGCAGGUCGUAGUCAUUAGAGAUAGUGCAGAAAACUUUAAUAAUAGAGAUUCAGAUGAAAGAAGGGAAAAGAGGCUGGCCAAGAUGGUGAUGGCAGCCUUCAGAGAGGAAGAAGGUGAAAAUGGAAGGAAUCCUAAAUGGCUGAACCAGCCACGGACUAAGUUGGAAAAGGAUCAGUGUGCAUUUUGUAAAGAAAAAGGACACUGGAAGAACAACUGUCCAAAGCGUAAGCAUGGGAAAGGGGAACAAGCACUCAGCCUAACAAACGCAGACUGACCAGGGCUCCCCAACAUGAAUACCAGUGAGCCCAGGUGAGCCUGUGGUGACAGGGAAAGUUGGGGGCCCAACUCUCUGGUUUCUAGUAGAUACUGGUGCCGCACAUUUAGUAUUGACCAAACCUCUGGGCCCCCUUACCAAGAAGAGGACCGCCAUCCAGGGGGCAAUAGGGACUGGCACCUAUGCCUGGACGACCACUAGAAAUGUGAAUCUCAAACAAAGUACUGUAACUCAUUCUUGUUAUGUCUGAUUGCCCAUACCCCUUGAUUUGCAUAGAUUUGUUAAGAAAAUUAGGUGCCACCAUCACGUUUAGUGAAAAUGAAGCUACCUUGCAUCUAAAGAAUCCACACCCAACUAUCUUAGUAACCUGCCCCUUAUCAGAAGAAUAUAAAAUAGUAGAAAAGAACCCAGAAGAACUAAAAGCAAACAAUCCCUCCUCACAGAGCUAAUGCAAAAGGUCCCUGGAGUGUGGGCAGAAACCAAUUCUCCUGGAUUGGCUUCUCACAGGCCACCAAUAAUUGUCUAACUUCUAAACUCUGCCUCACCUGUAAGAAUAAAGCAAUACCGAAUUCCAAGGGACACCAAGGUUGGCAUCAGAAAGCAUAUUUGCUGCCUCAGGGAUGCAGGAAUCCUGGUCCCUUGCCAUUCCCCUUGGAAUACUCCGUUGCUCCCGGUGGCUAAGCCUGGCACUAAGGACUGUUGUCUUGUCCAAGAUCUGAGGGAAGUUAGUAAGAGUGGAAACUAUCCAUCUGACCAUGCCAAAUCCCUACACUCUACUCAGCUUACUGGAUCCAGAGAGGACUGUGUACACUGUCCUGGAUCUGAAGGAUGCUUUUUUCUCUUUGCCUCUGGCACCAGUGAGCCAACCCAUCUUUGCCUUUGAGUGGACAGACCCUGAAGCAGGGUUCAGUGGCCAACUGACCUGGACUCAGUUGCCACAAGGGUUUAAAAAUUCUCUCCCACUCUAUUCAAUGAAAACCUUAGUACAGACCUGCUUGAGUAUCGCCAAGAACACCCAAAUAUCACCCUCCUGCAGCAUGAGGACGACCUCCUCAUCACUACCCACACCCAGGAGGAAUGUCAGCAAGCCACUGAAGAGCUGCUUGAGACCUUCCAGUGAUUGGGGUAUUAUGUGUCUGAAGAAAAAAAAAGCCCAAUUGUGCUCCAAUAAGGUAACCUAUCUGGGGUAUUACUUAGAAUGCAAAGCAGGGAGCGCUAGCUGGAAGUGGGACAAGCCUAUAAACUCUCAAAGCCUUACCCCAGUGAUGUACUUCCUCCAAGAAGGCCUUUAAACAUUCCAUGGCAUCCCCAAAACACCACUGCCAGCCGGGGUCCAAGCGUUCAAUUCUUGAGCCUAUGGGGACAUUUAUCAUUCAAAACACCACACCAGGAAAGCUGAACUUCGCAAGAUUCUGUGUGGGCCCAGUAUAUGACCCUGUACAAAAGUUAGUUUAAAAUGGAUCAGAAGCUGGGUCUGGAGAGAUGGCUUAACAGUUAAGAACACUGGUUGUUCUUGCAGAAGACCCAGGUUCGAAUCCCAACA